rnacentral:rRNA from 1 species
UUUUUUUUGUUUUUAUAAAAAGUAAAACCUGCCCUAUGAUAAAAUUAAAUGGCCGCGAUUAUUAUCGUGCAAAGGUAGCAUAAUAAUUUGUCCUUUAAAUGAGGUCUAGAAUGAAAGGUUUAACGAGAAAAUAACUUUUUUAUUUUAAUUUUUUUGAAUUUUAUUUUUUAGUUAAAAAGCUAAAAUAUAAUUAUGGGACGAUAAGACCCUAUAGAAUUUUAUUUUUUAUAUAAAAAAUAAACUUUAUUUUUAUUUUUAUAUUUUAUAUAAAAAAUUUGGUUGGGGCGACUUUUAUAUUAACUAAACUAUAUUUUUAUAUUAUUCAUUAAUUUAUGAUUUAUUGAUCCUAAAAUUUAGAUUAAAAGAAUAAAUUACCUUAGGGAUAACAGCGUAAUUUUCUUGGGGAGUUCUUAUUUAUAAAAAAGUUUGCGA